rnacentral:snRNA from 1 species
AUCGCUUCUCAGCCUUUUGGCUAAGAUCAAGCGUAGUAUCUGUUCUCGUCAGCUUAAUAUUUUUGAGAGACAGAGCAUGAGCAAGAAAGAGACAGAGAGAGUGAAGACACAGAAAAAGCCCCGAUGUGGGGCUCAGAGUCACCAACU